rnacentral:misc_RNA from 1 species
CCGAGUUCUGAGGUCUCUUAUCGAGCCUCAACUCCCACACCAUGUGUACCUUACCUUCUGUUGCUUCGGCGAGCCGCCCUGAAAAGGGCGCCAACCCCUCUCGCGGGUUGGAGAGUCUUGCUCGCCGGAGGACCAUGAAACUCUUGCUAAUUGAAUCGUCUGAGUAACGUUUUAAUAAAUUA